AGCAGCCGCGGUAAUUCCAGCUCCAAUAGCGUAUAUUAAAGUUGUUGCAGUUAAAAAGCUCGUAGUUGAAUUUCGGGAUCAAUUAAUUGGUCGUGCCUAUGGUACGUACUGAUUUUAUUGGUUUCUCCCUUCUGACGAACCAUGAUGUCAUUAAUUUGGUGUCGUGGAGAAUCAGGACUGUUACUUUGAAAAAAUUAGAGUGUUUAAAGCAGGCUAACGCUUGAAUACAUUAGCAUGGAAUAAUGAAAUAGGACGUUUGAUCCUAUUUUGUUGGUUUCUAGGAUCGACGUAAUGAUUAAUAGGGAUAGUUGGGGGCAUUAGUAUUCAAUUGUCAGAGGUGAAAUUCUUGGAUUUAUUGAAGACUAACUACUGCGAAAGCAUUUGCCAAGGAUGUUUUCAUUAAUCAAGAACGAAAGUUAGGGGAUCGAAGACGAUCAGAUACCGUCGUAGUCUUAACCAUAAACUAUGCCGACUAGGGAUCGGAUGAUGUUAAUUUUUUCAAUGACUCAUUCGGCGCCUU
rnacentral:misc_RNA from 1 species